CGAUUACAUUUGUCGGUCCGAUUUCAUUGUCAAGAAGCAUCUUUUUCUCAUUUCGGUAUCAGUGUCAUUUAUAUUCUGCCCAUAAUGAAAAAAUGCAGUGCCUUUAAGGGGUAUCUCAAAUUCCAUGUCACACUAAAUAAUGAAUUAAGAUCAGUGAAUGAGACCGCUGAACGGUUAACCUCAUCUCAGCCCCUCCUCCCUGAAUCACUCUGCAAGUGGAGCCAAUCAGAUGCUUGCAUCCCAUUGACCGCGUCCCACAGGCUCCACCUCCUCUCCUCCUUCAUUAUAUAAUCCUAUGAACAUCGGCAUCACAACACUGUGGUGCUGCUGCUGCGAGCCGCUCAGGAGACAAGGCUGCACUGAAAACAUUCACUCAUUGAUGGAUACUGAAAAUACCGGGUCUUUUCUCUGUGUCUCCAGUUGCAGGCACAUGCUGGCGUUAAGUACUGAGAGCAACAACAACAAGACCAGUAGCAGCAACCUCUCUGUCAUUGACAGCACUCGAAGCAGCUUCAGAGAAACCCCCUGUAGCAUCAUAAACGGCAGCAAUCAUCAAACGUACUCAAAGAGGACCCCCGCUGCCGACGGGCAGCUUUUCGCGCUUCGUCACUCAAGGACGGCAGCUCUGAGAUGGGCUGCUCCUCAGGGCGCCAGCCCCCAGCCUCGGUCCUUCAUCCGGACCUGGACUGCGGCAACAGCAGCGAGGCCAACAACUUGCCCCAGGACUCUGAGAACCAGGGUUUGAACGGCUGUGGCGAAGGAGGGGAGAUGGAGGGAAGUGUCGGAAGGUGUUCGGCCAAACCUCCAGAGUCUCUCCCAACGCUGGAAAGGCUCGCCCAAGCUACAGGCGGGACAGAGAAGUCCUGGUACCGCUGCGUGUUCCCGUUCGGCGUGAUAUCUCUGGUGAUCGGCAUGGCAGGAACUGGAGUGACGUUUACCUUUAACACGUUGCUCCAGACCAAAGUAGUGUCCGUGGCGCUGCUGUGUGUCGGCGUCGUGAUGUUGCUUGUGGCAGCAGUCUGCUGGAGGGCCCACAGACUGAGGAGGAGGAAAAAGAAAGAAGGUGGAUUCUUCAUUGCUGAUCAGGGUACUUUGUGAUGGAGGGCGUUGUUCAGGCUGAUGUAUUCCAGAGGGGACAGAGCAGUCGGAGUUGGACUUUUUGAAUGAGAAGGGCAACUAAAAAAGAAAAAGACAAGAAGUUGUAGGGCCUGAACUUGAAAAGACUGAAAAAAGUUGGAUGUCAUUGUUAGUAUUUCUGCCAGGUAAACUUUGUAACACCUUAAACUUUAGAAAACCUUCUAGCAAAGGAACCAUCAUCAUGACCAGAUACACAGGGUAGAAUACACAUUGCACACUCCAUACAAGCCCUCCCUCUCCACUCUUCUGUUCAAUCCAGUAAUGGAUCCACCUGGAUGAAAGCGGAGCCUAAAGCACAUCACAGAUCAUUGCUCCAAGGCUGGCCUCGCUGUGCUGUGGAAAUGCAUUAGAGAUAGGCACCUCAGGGAUAGCUACAGUACUUAAUACCUCUGAAUCCCUCUGCUGCAGGUUACUGGAUAAAAAGAGGUGUGAUUGUGUGGGACAGGGGAGUUAACAGUGACCAGACGAGCCUUUCUGGAUACGGUAGAGCAAGAGUAUCAAACAAGCGAUCUGAUCUGACAUAUGUGGCCAUGCGCAUCAGUUCAACCCCCACCCAUUCAAUUAGUUUACAAAGAGACAACAAUUUUUAUUAUUGGAUUACUGAACGAGAACUGCACUUGUAAAUGAAGCAUGAUUUCCCCUUGCCACAACAGAGCUGCCCUUUUGGCACGUACGCUCUGUCUCCAGCGGCUCCGGUUCGGCGACUCAUUAGAUGAAAGGGCCAGGGAGUCAGUGAGGGGUCACAUCUGAGGAAGAGGCAAGAAUUCAUCCCAAAGCACGCUCAUUAUAUGAAAUUAAACAAGCAAAAUAGCAUAGUCAGCAUGUUCCUCAUAUCUCUCUCUCUGCAUUCCAUUCUGCUGUCACCAGUCCUAAAUGCUUACUGCAAUAAAGAUUUGUUUCGGAGGGGCAAAAAUUCCAGUUAUGUCAGAUCAAUAGAAAUGACUACGCCAUAAAGUGCUAAUCUUUUUGGAGGUAAUGGUGUGGUCAAACCUGCAUUCCGUCAGCACUUUCGGACUUAUCAUAGAUCAUAAGAAAGAAGGACGUAGCCAAUCUGUGAACUUACAUUUUUUUCUCAUGACCAGCAGGGGGUACCUGAUCCUGUGACAUAAAGAAGCCCAACUGUAGGGAUAACUUCAAAGUUUAGUGUAAAACGCAUGGACAACCGUGUGAUUGAUCCAUGCAGAGGCCUUUGUUUUUCAGUCACAUGUACACCUUGCUUGUGACGUGAGACUACGCCCACUGCUUAUAUAUAGUCCAUAUUUUUACACUAUGUCAAGGAAUCGCAUUACAUGCAUAUCAUACAAACUGGUGUAUAACAGCUUCAGGCUCGCUGGCCCGAUUCCUCUAUUCCACGACUCCCGCUGAACCGAGCAAAUUCGGCGCUGCUGGGCAUUUAGGUGGUUGCGGUGAGGGGCAAAUCAAUUCUUUCCUUUAUAUACCUUCCAUUCUUACACUCUCAAAGAAAGGGGGUUAUACUGCUCUUCAUAUUAGCUACUAGAUCCCCGAGGACAGGCUUAAACAAAUUUACCUUGUUCCUCAGUGAUAAGACGAGCCGCGCGGUGGUGUAUGUCGCAAAGAACCUGUCCUGAACAUUGUUCUUUUUUGGGGGGGAAACAUUUUCUGCUUUGACUAGAUCACUCAUUUCGCCAAAACAAUAGCAAAAAUCCUUCUCCGUCUUAGGGCCAAGCUGUAGCAGUAAGCUGAACACAAUAGGUGUAGUAGUUCAUGGUUCUGAGCAGCAGGAAGUGUGCAGAAAACCCAGCAGCUCUGUGUCGGCUGUAGCUGUUAAUGUACUUAACUGAAAAUUAUCAUCUCCAACUUUUGCAUGGAGUUACUCGGAGCAGUACAAGUGUACAAGUGCAUAUGUGUACCAUGUUGGUUGUGUGCACACUAAAGCUACAACUAAUGAUUUGUUCCCCCGCCCCCCCUCCCUCGUCUGCCUCCAUCCCGCUCCGUGUCAACUGUCCAGUUUCGUGAGCUUAUUUCACACCUGGCUUAUAAAAGCGAAGAUAAUCCUCGCUUUGUAGAAGCAUUCAGCUGUGUGCACGCAUAUCUGUUCCUAUGUCGAGUAUUCUUCUGAGUUACAUAUCAUAAAUGCUGUAGGUACUAACUGAGAGUGUAGCCUCAUUUCUGAAUGUACCUCCAACAGUGAGUGUCUUACGAACAUCCUUGUACAGAGUGUAAAGAUUAUUUAUAUUGUUUAUGUACACUCUAUUUUGAGUGAGACAGAUUUAGAGACACAGUACAGUGCACAUCUAUUUGAGGCACUAGCCAACAGUUGUUUUUUUUUUUGGUUUCAGCUGGCGGUGUGGUUGUAGUGUUUUCAGCUAUGUUGCAGUGAUUGCAAACUGUGAUUGUUUCAUCCCAAGUAACCAACCCAGACAAGGAUACAUUUGUAAUUAAAAUCAAGCACAUAAUCAGUUACAACUUUUAAGAUGGAGGGUUUUUUACGUUAUGUAAAUUUAAAUAAAAACGUUGUGUUUUUGGAAUGAAACUAUCCAGUUGCUUUACGUGGUUGUGGUCAAUUUGCUUUGAGUUUACUGGCAUGUCCAAGCUUUUCUCUGAGUGCCUUUUACUUGCUACAUUAAUAUUUCUAUGUAUGGUACAUUUAAUGUAAGCUGUGCAGGCCUACCGGCACCAGUAAUAUAGUAGCCUAAAACAGACACGGAAAUACAUGAAGUUUUUUUUAUCAGUCGAGUUCAGUGUGUGUGAGUGCCGUGGUGUGCAUGAAGUCAGACUUUGAUAUGGUUCCUUUAUUUAAAGCAACAGAAAUACCAAAUAUAUUUAUCAAGAAUUCAUAUUUUUUGUCCUUCUGAAAUAUGUGUACCAGUGUACAUUUUUCUUGUUUACUGUUAAGCUUCUAAAGCGCUGAAUUAAAUGCAAAGAUUGAUUUUGGAAACAA